CCCUGUAAAACUCAGUAAGUGCUAGAAACUAUAAGCUAAAAGCUGAGUUUCUACAGGAAUUCUGUGGUCCCUGGGAUGGAUGCUUGGACUUAGCACAGAGAACAAGAUAGGGACAAGUCUGAGGCCAGAGGCCAGCUUCCUUUAAGUCUACAUCAUGGGGAAAGAGAGAAACGGGUGGAGUCCACCUUGGUCCUCACUGCUGUUAGAAUGGGGGCACGUGCCUUGGCUCUGUGUUCCUGAUAGCCCAAGAAGCAGGCCACAAAGGUCGGAGGAUGGCAGAUAUGGAGCUCUGAAAACACACGCUGCAGACCCAAGCCCCAAGCUUGUUCCUGAUCAUACGUGCCACCAUGGAAGACCAGAGCUCUGACUCACACUGACCCAGGUUCUAUCAGUGCCUCCUGGUCAGUCUGGACCCAAGUGCCUCGUUGGGGCUCAGGUGGAGUAGGGAAGGGGAAUCCUGAUGUUAACCUGAUCUCUGUCUUCACAUGGCCUUCUUGGCCAUCUCACGCACGCAUGGCUUUCUAGGACCAUCCACAAUUACUAAGCAGGGUCCCUAUUCAAAAACAAUAGAAAGGCUAAGAGACUCUUGUCUCUUUCUUUCCAAAGUUCAUCAAUAGUGUGUGUUUUAAGCCAUGGCACUCCAUCAUUAGGGAGUGACACUUUGGGUCAUACCUAAGUUAUAGCUGGUUUUGUUAAUUUUGUUUUGUUUUGUUUUGUUUUGUUUUGUUUUGUUUUAAACAGAAGCCCCUUCCAGUGUGCCUUUCUUCUGCACUUUCUCCUCCUCAGCCUAGGCAGGAAGCUGCAUGGGCAGUCGACAAGACAUUGUCAUGGGUCAGCAAAAGGGUGUUAUUACUCAUAACCUCCAAAGCAGGCAGCUGCUAGACACAAGGACAGAGCACCAGGGCUAUGUUUUGCCUCCCACUGGCUCCUGGUUUCCUCCUGCCAGCCCCUUCCUUUUCACCCCAGCUUUAGAAAGGGGUCUGUAGUCCUCUGGCUUCUACCAGGGAAACCUUUAGUCAUGCUUCAGCCCCUCCAGCUGCAUUCAGACCUGGAGACGUGUUUCAUAUUGGCAGCAGACGCUUUGAACACUAGCAACUUGUCUGAGAAAUAUAACUCACAGAGUCUUUGCAAUGACGACUUAUUUCCUAUCAUUAUGAUGUUGAUGGAAAAGAAAGAGCCCUGCCUUCAACAACUUAAAAACUGUGCCUCUCCCUCCCCACUUCUUCCUCCUAGAAGAUAAGCUUCCCUUGCCAUGCCAGGGCAAGGACCAGUGGGUAGAAGAAAGAGUGGAGAAGAUAAUUUUGUCCACUGGUCCUCAAGGACCAAUUAGGAGGCUCCAACUUACAACAGACACCAAUCUCCUGGGAUCUGAGCAUCUCCCAGGGUCAGGCUGCCAAAGGUAAAAGAAGCAAGCAUCUUGACUCACUUUGUCCAGAGCAGGGUGACUUAGACAGGCCGGAGAACCGAGCUGAUGAGGCAGGUCAUCAGGGCAGAAAGGACCGGGAAGUGGGAUUCCCAUCCAAGAUGACAUCCCUCUAGUGCACCAGCCUGUCAAAGCCGGGAUGGAUUGCUGCUCUCUGCAGGCCUCUUUGUGAUAUGAGGUCAUAGUCUCUGCUCUGGGGCACUCAGAAGACCCACCUGCUAAGUCCUUGUCCUGGGAUUUGUACAAGGGAGACUUGAACCACCAGGAUUGUUUCUCUAACAGGAGAUGUAUGCAUGUGCAUGGGCUAAAAAAUAUGGGGGUGGGGGAGGGCGGUAUCAGGUAGGCAGGAUGGGCAGAGAGAGGUAAAGAGGUAAGGGAGCCAUUUCAGAAAGACUGGGAUGCUGGGACUGUGGAUGCUGGGGAGAUGGAAGGCUCGUAACAGUGAUCCACAGCUGGGGGAUGGCUGCCACCGCUGUCCUGAUUUGUACCCCAGCUUUCCCUUCACUGACCAGAAACUCACUGCCUCUCCCCUAGCCCAGGAGUAGCGGGGAUCCAAGGUCCUAGGGCUAACUGUCAGGGCACCAAGAGAGCUAGGUCAUGAACAACCAGGAGCUCUGACUUCUCUGAACAAACAGAGGAAUUUUUUUCACAUGAAGCAGCAAGUUGGCUAGAGGGUCUUCUUUAGAGCUCAGGCCCCAGUUAGCAGACUCAGUAACCAACCAGUAGGUUCCACGCACUGUGUGAGCAACUGACGUGCCAUAAGGAGAAGACAGAGACUGCUGAGGGUAGUGACUAAAGACAUAAUAAAAUGAAAUUUUUCCCUGAGCUGAGGUGACUUCAGAGUCAAGAGUCCACAAGGGCUGGAAGAAGGCAAAGCAGGCUUCAGGUCCCCAACUACACCCUUUCUGGAGCUCAAAGAGAAAAUGAAAGGAGCCUAAAGUUUCCAAGGAUAUCCACAAAGCAGGAAAUAAGAUGGUGGGGCAACAUCACCAAGACCCAAAGGCAGAACUGAGGGUGCUCCUCGGGGCAGAACAUCUGCUCAGUAUGAAAAGCCCUGUCUGAGUCUCAGCAUGGCAAAACAAAACAAGACCCGAGAGAGGAAGAUUCUGAGUCAAACUGUCAACCAAGGAUUUGAUGGAGUCAGUGCUGGCUGUGUGAGAACUCACCUUAUUUCCCAUUCAACAACAUAAAAAAACAAACAAACAAACAAA